UUUCCCCAGGCUGAAAAGUACUUUUCUGUCCUUCUGAAGAAAGAGGAAAGGUCAGAUGGCUCCUCAAACCAGGAAUUCCCAGGUACCUGUGUUGUUGAGGCAGCUGCAGUAGAGGUCGAGCAUGCAGACACACAGCCCAGCUGGAGGGGCUUGUGCUGGCUGUGGUGGGGGACUGAGCCCCAGUGACCCCCCCCCAGCUCUGUCCUUGUUCUGCCUGGGAGGUCUGGAGCUUCAUGGGGGACACGGGAACUUCUUGGCCCAGGAGUGGCUCUUGCCCUGGAGGGCAUGGUGUGUUCCAAAGUGUUCCAGAGCCAGUGCAACCCCGAGAAACAAGCAUCUCCUGCUUGUUCCUGUGUUCCUGUGCUGGUGCCAGCCCACGCGGAUGAGGAUUCCUGAG